rnacentral:tRNA from 1 species
AUCUAAGUAUUUUAAAUUAAAAAUUUAAAGUUGUGGUCUUUAAGAUAGAGUUUUCUCUUAGAUA